CAUCAUGGCUCAGGAUGAACGCUAGCGACAGGCUUAACACAUGCAAGUCGAGGGGCAGCGAGGGAGUGGCAACACUUCCGUCGGCGACCGGCGCACGGGUGAGUAACGCGUAUGCAACCUGCCCUUCACAGGGGGAUAACCGGGAGAAAUUCCGACUAAUACCGCAUACGUCCUCCGGGGGCAUCCCCGGGGGAUGAAAGAAUUAUCGGUGAAGGAUGGGCAUGCGUGAUAUUAGGUAGUUGGCGGGGCG
rnacentral:rRNA from 1 species